rnacentral:lncRNA from 1 species
CUCUGGCCCAGGGCAGAUUCAGAAAUGCUGUCCAAGAGCCAAGGCCUGGAAUUAGGGACCCUAAGGGCCCGCUUGGUGUUUUACUCCACUGUGGUUGAGCUGGUACCUAAGCUGCAAGACAAAGUCCCUUUUAUUCUUCUCUCUCCAUUUCUCAAGAAGAAGGAGGCUUUCCCCAUAUCUCCCACAACUCGGAAUGUGCUGGAUCAUACGGGAAUCCAGCAUGUCUCUGAGUCUCACUCAAAGCCUAUGGUGAGUGCUAUCUGGGUACCACUGCUGACUAUUCAGGGCCCAAAGGUUUUUUAGUCAGCUGUGGAUAAUUCUUGACAGGACUGGAUCCUUCCCUUCAAAAGAGCAGGUUCCCUUCUGCGCCAGUGUGUGCCUAGAAAUGUUGUACAGAAGCUAGGUUCUGGAAUGGAGGCCUCAUGACUCUGCCCAGUGCCCUAUCCUACUGUGGUGGAACUGGUAUCCAAGUUGCAAGACAAAGUUCUUUUUACUCUUCCCUCUCCUCUCAUUAAGCAGAAAGAAGUCUCUCCUGGAGCUGCAAGCUGCACUGCCGGGGGUUGGGGAGGGGUGAUGCAAGCAUUCCCUUGGCCACCCCGGCUGGUGUCUCACAAGGUUGCAUGCCACCAACAUCCGCUGGCUUUGAAUCCAACACAGCACCAGGACUUGCCCAGGAAUUGCAGUCCCUGUUGCCUUUCAAGUUUAUUUAGGACUUCAGAGUACUUUAACCCACAAUGGUGAGGCUUGCUGGAACUCAGGUUCCAACCACUGGGUUGGGCAAUUCCCCUCUGGCUAGGGCUGGUCUAACUUAUCCCUCUGUGGGUGCUGACUGAGUUCUGCCCACUAUUACUUUCUGCUGUGACAGGCAGCACUGAGUUCCAAUGUAAAAUUCCACAGUCACUGUGCUCCCCCUCCCCCAAGCACACAGAUUCUUUCUCCACCACAUGGCUGCUGCUGGGGGAUGGGGCAGGCGUGGUGUGGGCAAUUCAAGACUAUCUUUUCUAUCCUCUUCGGCACCUCUUUCAGUGAUAUGAAGUUAAAACCAGGGAGAAUGAUUGGUGAAGGCUUCUAUUUGGUCAACUUGCUCUGUCUUUAUAGCCAAUUUAUAUUGAUAAGAGUUUCUCUCUAGAUACCAUUUGCGGUAUUCCUGAGUCAGAAGAGAGGAAAGGUGAUACUGCCACCCCCUGGAGUCGUCUCUCAAGAGGACUUGAUCUCUGGCCUGUGAACUGCCCCACAUGUUUCUUCUGCACAUCCUGACUCCCAGGCCUGCACAGGGGACUUCUGCACAGGCCUGACUCCCAGGCCUGACAUUUUCUGGUCUGUCUUCGCCAUGGUCUGCUAUCAACUGCAGUUUUGAAUUCUGGUUUCUCUUAUUCUUUGUCUCUAGGCAAGUCAACAGGUUCAGCAGCCAGAGUCCUAUCCUGUACUUCUCUUCACGUUGCAGACAUCCACGAAAGAGUGAGACUGUUUUCGGUUGGAUUGAAGAGCAAAUGUGUGGAAGGCACCAAGGGUCUCACUCUGUCACCUAGGCUGCAGUGCAGUGGU